AUUUUUUAAGAGAUAGGGUCUUGCUAUAUUGCCCAGGCUAGUUUUUACAUCUUUAAAACUGAAUACUUAGCUGGGUGUGGUGGUGCACAUGCCUGUAGUCCUAGCUGUUCAAAAGGUUAAGCCAGGAAGAUUAUUUGAGCCUAGGAGUUCUGGGCUCUAGUGCACUAUGCUGACUGGGUGUCCACAUUAAGUUCCGCAUCAGUGUAGUAAACUCCAAGGAGCUGGGAGCCACCAGGUUACCCAAGGAGGGGUGAACUAGCCCAGGUUAGAAAUGGAGCAGGUCAAAACUCCCAUGCUGGUCAGUAGUGGGAUCAUACCUGUGAAUAGUCUCUGCACUCUAGCGUGGACAACAUAGUGAGACCUCAUCACUUUAAAAAAAACAAACCCUGAAUAUUUUUUUUUGGAGAUGGAGUCUCACCCUGUCCCCUAGGCUGGAGUGCAGUGGCGCAGUCUUGGCUCACUGCAGCCUCCAUCUCCCAGGUUCAAGCAAUUCUCCUGCCUCCGCCUCCUGAGUAGCUGGGACUAUAGGCACCCACCACCAUGCCCAGCUAAUUUUUGUAUUUUUAGUAGAGACAGGGUUUCACUAUGUUGGCCAGGCUGGUCUCGACCUCCUGACCUCGUGAUCCGCCUGCCUUGGCCUCCCAAAGUGCUGGGAUUAUAGGCAUUAGCCACCAUGCCCAGCCCCUGCACUAAUUUUUUAAACAAAGUCCUGUUGGUGCUCCCUUCAAAAUAUCUCCAGUCUGACUAUUUUACCACUUCUGCAACAACCCUUCCAACUCAGCCACUGUUCUGUUUGGUUUGGGUUACAUAGUGGCAUCCUACCUGGUCUUCCUGUUUCCACUCUUAUACCACUAGACCAUAUUCUCCGUAAACCACCAGAGUGAUCUUUUAAAAUAAAAACAUAAAUUAUGUUCAAAACCCUCCAGUGGCAUCCAUCUCAUGUAAAUAACCACUCCUUCCUACAAGAUGCCACCUCACGUGCCCCGACUGCCUCCUCAUAGUUCCCUCUGCACAAUGCCCACUUUGCCACAGCUGUGUGCUCCUGCUGGCUCUUGGGUGAGCCCACCAGUCACACUUCUGCCUGAGGGCCUUGCACAUGCUCUGGCUGCUGCCUGAGAUACUUAUCCCCAUCGCUAUGAUCACCUUCCCAGAGAGGCAUUUCCUGGCCUCCCUAUCUAUUUCCUCACCACCAUCAUUUCUGUCUGCUGACUCUACUUUGUCUGUUGGUUGAUUUUUGUACUAAGCGUACUACCAGAAGCUUUCCUCUCAGUUUGCUUUCCCACAGUAAAAGAGCAAGGCCUUUACCUUGUCCAUUAGUUUCUCCUCAGAACAGUGCCUCCCAGGUGUUCAACAAAUACUUGCUAAAUAAAAGAUGGCUGAUAGCAAAAAUAUUUAUGUCUAUGUAUAGGGACUUAGUCUUUAUUGACAUUGUGCUUUUAUUCCCUAGAGACCCUGAAAUAUGGCGUCUGGCCUGCUUGAAAGUUUGGGGCAGAAGCUGUGUUAAACUUGUUCCGUACACAUCCUGGAGAGAGAUGUUUUUAGAACGGCCUCGUGUUCGGUUUGAUGGAGUGUAUAUCAGUAAAACCACAUAUAUUCGUCAAGGGGAACAGUCUCUUGAUGGUUUCUAUAGAGCCUGGCACCAAGUGGAAUAUUACAGGUACAACUGUAGUACACUGAGUGAGUGGAAAAUUCUCUCUCUCCAUGUAUUAGUUAAAUGGACAUCUGUUCUUUGUUGCUUUUGAUUGACCCGUAAAAUGGCCCUCAGUAUUUUUAUCUAGUACUCAAUGUAGGAAUUACACUAAAAAAAAAAAAAAUAGGCUAAUAUAAAUUACAGAAUUUCUUCUGGCCUCUUUUAGAUUUCUCCUUGUCUUUUGCCCUGGGUGUAUUUACUUGCCUUUUCAAAUAGCUUGUGCUUUUAUUCCACCUUAUUGCUUGCCAAAUAUUAUUGUCAUUUAGAAAAAAAUAGACAUGUUAACCAUUGUGUGUGGAUCUCACUUCGUUUGAAAUUGUUGCUUUGGGAAAAGCACAGAACUUUAAUAAAACAAUAUUUGACUUUUAUUCAGUGAGUAAAACUUAAAAGUUCAACAGUUUCCCCUGAGGAAGAUAAAAUAUCUUUGGUUCUUUGUUGCUGGACUGACAGGUAGUCAGUCAUAUUUGUUUUAAUGUUUUAGCAGUUCUUUAGCCCGUGGUAUUUCAGUGUUGGUUUCAUAGCUAUGAAUAGGCAUAGGUACUAAUAGAUAAGGACAUAUUUUAUACUUUGUGUGUGGGGUGUGUUUUGGUCUUCUUUUUCUUAUUACAUAGGUACAUAAGAUUCUUUCCUGAUGGCCAUGUGAUGAUGUUGACAACCCCUGAAGAGCCUCAGUCCAUUGUUCCACGUUUAAGAACUAGGAAUACCAGGACUGAUGCAAUUUUACUGGGUCACUAUCGCUUGUCACAAGACACAGACAAUCAGACCAAAGUAUUUGCUGUAAUAACUAAGAAAAAAGAAGAAAAACCACUUGACUAUAAAUACAGAUAUUUUCGUCGUGUCCCUGUACAAGAAGCAGAUCAGAGUUUUCAUGUGGGGCUACAACUAUGUUCCAGUGGCCACCAGAGGUUCAACAAACUCAUCUGGAUACAUCAUUCUUGUCACAUUACUUACAAAUCAACUGGUGAGACUGCAGUCAGUGCUUUUGAGAUUGACAAGAUGUACACCCCCUUGUUCUUCGCCAGAGUAAGGAGCUACACAGCUUUCUCAGAAAGGCCUCUGUAGAGCCUCAAGUCCAGUCCUCUAUCACUUUUGCAUGAAUUCAAGUAUAUAGCGCAAAAGAGCACCUAAGUUAUAAA
rnacentral:sRNA from 1 species